GAUCUUAUAGUUUAGAGAAUGUUAAAUUGCAAGUUUAAAGGGGAUAAAUUGUCUAAGAUUU
rnacentral:tRNA from 1 species